UGGGGAAUAUUGGACAAUGGGCGCAAGCCUGAUCCAGCCAUGCCGCGUGAGUGAUGAAGGCCCUAGGGAUGUAAAGCUCUUUCACCGGUGAAGAUAAUGACGGUAACCGGAGAAGAAGCCCCGGCUAACUUCGUGCCAGCAGCCGCGGUAAUACGAAGGGGGCUAGCGUUGUUCGGAUUUACUGGGCGUAAAGCGCACGUAGGCGGACUUUUAAGUCAGGGGUGAAAUCCCGGGGCUCAACCCCGGAACUGCCUUUGAUACUGGAAGUCUUGAGUAUGGUAGAGGUGAGUGGAAUUCCGAGUGUAGAGGUGAAAUUCGUAGAUAUUCGGAUGAACACCAGUGGCGAAGGCGGCUCACUGGACCAUUACUGACGCUGAGGUGCGAAAGCGUGGGGAGCAAACAGG
rnacentral:rRNA from 1 species